rnacentral:sRNA from 1 species
AUGAGGAGGCCUCCCAAUGAUGCGAAGCAUCAUUUAGGAAUGAGGCCGACGACUUGCCCGGGCCCGAAGGGGCGGGGCGCUACAUUAU